GGAGCAGAAAACACUUCUCAGGAAAAAGAGGUCUAAUGGCUGUGUUCAGCAGACCUGCUUUCCAAGGAGGUGCGCUCGUACUUCCCGAGGUGCAUCUUGCACGUCAGUCUUUUCCACGCCGUUGCCUUAGGUGAGGUGAGAGUAGUAGAGUGGCUGCUAAGGGGAAGCUGUUCCUCGCUCUGAUACCUUGUGCAGUGGGGCCCUGCAUUCAGGGUAAAACUGCACCGUGUCAGAAAUGAAGCGGAAAAGCUGUAGCGCCAGCUUCCUGUAAACUGUUCUUCGUAGGUACUUUGAUUUCUCUAGAAGAAGAAGGUGAUGCUCCUGUUAUCAUGGGAAUUUCCCAAUGCAUUGCCACAGUCUUUGCUAUCUUCAGUCAUUUUUUAUACAAGGUUUUGCCUUGUUUUUAUCUAGGCAAUUACUUGUAAAUCACAAAGUGCUGACAUGAGUAAGGAACAGAUCUUUCUACGGGAAAGCAAUGUGAAUGUAAAGCAUUUCUGCGGCUACGGAGAGAUGUUACGAGGAGGGAAGUGACGUCCCAUUUCAGUGUUCAGUUGGAUGUUUUAUGAGUGUUUGAGUGUUAUGAGUGUUUUGAGGAACCCCUCUGCACCAGCUCCUCUCUCCCUCCGUCCCUCCCCCAUGCAGUACAUACCUUUUCCUCUCUGUCUGUCUUUAGGGCCUAGGUACUCAGGGUAGGUGUACUUCAUUUUUCUAAGACAGAUUCACUGUACUACUAGACCAGCUGAACCUAGCUCAUGCCCUGAUUCUGGUCAAGGUUGGGUUACCUUGCAAUGACUGAGAAAAUGAAGACAGGCUUUCGUCAUACUGCUACACAUGACUUCUGUGUGUACACCAAGCCAUCCAGGAUCAUGUCCUUGCACAUCUGCUAUGUUACUCAUAACACCUACUGAUUCAUAUCCAGAUCUACUCAAACAUCUAAACGCAAUGGAGAGCAACAGGCAAAACACAAAUUCUUCUGAUUGCCACCAUCCUUCAAGGUAACAGCUUGAGGAAUAGGCCUAUCUGAGACCUACUCACAAAACUCAGGAAGCUAAUUUGAUUUGGGAUUUCAUAAUGAAUGUGAAUCUCUGAUUGUUAGGAUCUCUAAUUAGAAUAUCUAUGAAGGUUUCCAAGCAGGUUAUAGGGAAAACAGAAGACUUUAUGACCAUGAUUUAUUUGCUAUGUGUACUGAUUUCACCAAAGCUGAAAAUCAUAGUAAAAAUAGGAAGGUGUGAAAUGCAGUCGAGCCAACCAGUACAGGUGUGUCUCUACAGCAAAGCCCCGGGCUUCUGCUCAGUUUUGACAAAGAGCAUCCUUUCUUGUUUGGUAUGUGAAAGGUCUGGUGGAACAGAGGGGAGUGGAAGUGGUCUGCAUGCUGUAAAAAUACCCUGAUGUCAUUUCUAGCUCCAGCGGUAAAGGAGCAAUGGAGGAAGAAAAAAAAAGUGCCUAGGAUUAUGGAAAAACUAUUGCAAGAACACACAGGUCUGAGCAACAGGCUGCAACUGAACUGUUCAGUGCUUUGUUGACUCAGUAGGUUGCCAGAGGCUGCAAAGUGAUAAGGAGAACAAAGUCCACAUCUGUUCUCUCAGUGCAAACACCCUUAUCUCUGUUCCCCUUGCAGCUUCUUUCACAGUGGCUGGACAGUCCAAGGAGCAAGCUCCACUGCAGUUAAAGUAUGACAGAAGCACUGUCAGUUACAGCUUCCUGAAGGAUCUGUUUUCUUAAAAUAGGACCAUUUGUUCCUCUUUUAUGAUGGGUCAGUUCCAGGGGCCUCAGUAUUGCAGCUUCUUCCCUUAACCAUCUUUGCCUUUCGGAAGCCUCAGAUUGGGCUGAACUCAUGGAAGCUUUUCCUUUCUCGGUGGUUUGUUCUCCUACUGUCCAAGCCAAGGACCAGUCUCCUCCCUUAGUAUUUGUGAUAGUAGUCUAGCCAGCACUUGUGCCCUGAGUUUGUUACACAAAUCCCUCUACGAAGGAGAAAGGGCUCGAAUGUGGAAUCUCUGGUCUCUUAGAUGUGAGCUCUGGCUCAGACAGGAAGACAAGGGGCUGCAUUAUCACUGAUGGAAACAUCAGUUACGUGUUGUUGUCCUUCCUGCACCCCAGUCACAAGUCACUUCUGACUCUCUUGUCAAGAUCUCCACUUUGUGGUAGGAAUAAAGCAGGAAGUAUCUGUGAGGAUGACUUUUCUCACAGUGGUUCUGUGAUUUUCUUUUGUUUUGAGACAAAGCAGAGUUUUCUGAGGUACAACAGGGCAGGGCAUCUUAGUGAGCGUGACUUCAUAGGACAGUUCAGAUCCUGGCUACCCGUAAACUGUCAAGGCCCAGGCUGUAAUUCCAAUGCAGCAAUUCCUUUUGGCCCUAGGCUAUGUCACAGAACCAGUGAUGGCAGUCAGUCAGUUGAGGCCUCAAAUGAACCAUUGCCCAAAUCCACAGAUCCACCUGCAGAGCCUUCACCGUUGACUAAACCACUGUAAGAUGAAACCAUUCUGUUGAAGUUGGUGACAAAGCUGUCAUUGACUGUCAGAGUAGGAUUUCACCCAAAGCGUAGCCUUCCUGGCUGUCAUUGCACUAAAAUCUCAAUUGCUUCAGUGAGUCAAACUGUGGAACUAGGUCUGACUUGCUCAAGCUCUCCUCCUCCAUCUCCAAGUCCCUUUCCUGCUUUUACCUUUCUUUCUCCCCAGAUACAAGCUGUCUCCCCAUUCCUGUCUUGUUCUCUGAGGUCUAAUCUCUAUCUCCAGGUUCUUCUCAAAUGGUCUUUACUUCCUUCUUCCUAAGUCUCGCUCUGCUGCUGCUUGCCUCCUGAGUGUAGCCCCUCUCCCCAGCUCCACUCGACCACAGGGGCCUGGGUCUUCUCUCCAUUCCAGCUUCCCAUUUUCUUAGUUCUGAGGUCACUUUUUAAGGGCGUUUUCACCUCCCUUUUGUUACCUGAACAAUAAGUAACCCAGGUAGUUAGUUAUAAACUCAAAGGGAACAAGAGGCUGGUUGAUAAUUUAUAGCAACAUCUCAAAUUUAAAUGGAAAGUAAAUAUCAAGUUGUUAGCAUUAAAGAAAACCCAUUUCAGAGAGCUGAGGAUGUAACAUUCGGGGGACCUUCUCCCUCCUUCACUCUUCCUGACUUUUCUUUCUCUUUCUUUUUCCUUUGUUCCUUUCUUUCCCCUCCUCUUCCUCAUUCCCUCUGUCUCUCCUUUCCUCCUUCCCUGUUUUCCAGGUUCCCAGGCAAGAGAAGCCCUCAUUUCUCUGAGGUAGAUUCUGAAGUGCUGCUUUGGACCAGACCUUGGUUAAGCAGAGGUUCAGAGCUGUGAAGUGCUCAGGACCAUCCUCUGGCCCUUUCCUCUGGAGCUCGCCAGACAACUCCCACUGGUGCCAGUGCACAGCCCGGAGCCGGGCUGGGCAGAGAGCAGGGAAGGAUUCCUCGUGUACCAGAAGCCCCUUCCCUCUUGGUUCUGCUUGCCCCGGAGGCCUUCAGCUGCUGAAGCUUUUAAAACAGCCUCUCUUGAAACCAAUGAACUUCAAAGGCUAUAAAACCAAAAAUGAACAUCUGCCUGUUUGUUAGGACCUACAGGAUGCUACAACUGGAUACCACAUGAGGAAUCCUGCGUUUAACGUGGAAACCUUUCAAAUACUGAGGAAGAGGUAAAUUUCUCCAUCACUCUAUCCUUGAAGGUCUUUUUCCCUUGAUCUAUUGGAGUUGCCCAUUUUAAACUCCAAGAGCCUGGACAACCAAGGAAGAGGUAAAAACUUUCCUUAAAAAUGUCUACACUGUCAUUUUUACAUUCACUGUAACCUGCCAAACCAGAUAUGCUAGCAAAUGAUUCAGCACUCCAUCAAGGAUCUAAUUCAGAUUCUUCAGUGCAAGGAAACCAGUGAGCUUUUCAGUGUUUCUCAGAUGUUACAAAUUGCUAAACUGUCAGAAUGAACAAGUGGGAGGUAGGACGGAAACUGUUGCUAUGGGUUAACCAGCACCCCUUUUCUAUAUAUUGACACUGAGGACUGCAAGCUCGGGUUUCUCAGAUUAUUACAACUGCCACAAUAUCCUGCUGAGAGGUAAUAAGGAUAGCAGAGGUCAAGGGUGGAAGCUGCAAAGCUUUAACCAGCUAGAUUAUAGUUCUAGUAGUAGAGCAAGAGCUAAAUUGUAGAGUACCAUAAUCCAAACAAUAUAUUCCUAUAUCUAAAUUGUGCCUCAUGGAUUUUGCCUUGAGAAGGAAUAGUUGAAAGAAAAGGAUUUGGCUUUGCUAUACCCAUUUGCAUUCUAUAUCAGUUGAUUUUGUUGUUUUUUGUACUUGCUUUGUUGAUUUUCUUACUUGCAAAAAUUUACUGGGGCAUAUCUUGAUUCUCGAGUCACCCGGAAUAACAUGAUGCUGGUAACUGUAAGGGAGAGGUAGUUUUUGAAGUAUGAAGGCCCCGAGUGAUACCUGCCUUUUCUCAUGUUUGUCUGCAGUAUCUGGUUUUGUAUUAUUUUUUCCUCCUGCAAACUUAUUUUUCAUUAAGCAUAACUAAUAUGGUGGUCGAGAUCCUUCAAACAAUACUUCAGUAACAAGACAUGAGCAGCUUUACAACAAUAAACUGGUAAGCUUAAUAGAAAGCUCAAGAAAAAUGUUAUAUUAACAGAAUGGUCUGGAUGCCGAUUGGAGAAAUCUAUCGGUUAGUAAUCAUAAUCACACCUGAGGAUUCUGAGCUCUGUAGGUUUUUUAUUUUAAUGGCAUGCUUAAUAAAGAUUCUUUAAACAUGUUCAAAUAAUCUGCAUUGUCCUACCUACGCUUUAAUACAUUGUCUGUUUGUUUUAUUUUUAUAAGUUUCUUCCCUUCAAGUAGUAGGCGGUCUGGUAACACUGUGUGACAGCUGCAUCACAGAACGGGGUUGCUGGCAUUCUCCAAUAGGCUUCCAGGCAAGGACGGCUUCUCUUCCUGUUUCAUUCUACUUCAUUGAUAAAUAAUAGUCUGCCUUGAUAAACUGUUCCAAUGGAUUGCCUUCUCCCAAGAACAUGUAAUAAGGUAGUUGAACUGUGGAUUAAUAAAUAAUGAGGACUACUCCAUGAAAGUAUAAAUGGGUAUAUAAUAGGAACUUUAUUCUUAUUUUAGACCUAUUGGUCUGCAUUCUGCUUAUUACAGGAAAGCCAAACCAAGUGAAAUAGUUGCGCAGCAGAGUAACGUGAACAGAAGUGCAGGUGGAUUAGAGGUUCCCAGAGCCUGACUCUUGUAUCAAUACAAUUGUUAUCUUCAGUGUUUUAAUUUGUUAAAUUAUAUCCACCAUCAAGUAUACACAGUGAAAAAUACAGUGAUUGACUGGGAUAAAGCCUAAUGCCAUGACCUCAAGGAGCAUGCAGAGAAAGAAAAAAACUAAAUAUUUUUAUAGUAAAAUUGCUAGCAGAGGGAGCCUGUAUAGUUCCAUGAAUACAGUGAUAAAACUGCCAUUGGCCAAAGAAGUAUUUAGAAGUGGUUCCUUUAAUAAUUCUUUGCCAUUUUAUGGUUCCUCCAGCUGAGACUGCCAAAUGCUUUAUUGGCCUGAAAGACAUUACUAUCAUCCCCUCCUUGAAAUGUGAGAAUUAUUGUUAUCGUUGUGUUCAUCCCUAUUUCUGUGAUUGAGGAAAAGAAAGCUACACAAGUGCCAAAACCGAUUAUUAUUUGUGCCCUGGGAGCUUGGCCCCAAGUGGCAUGCAGGAGAGUGAAAAAUCCCAGAUAAUUGUCAUUGGUAUGUUGUUUUCAUAGGGUUGGAUUUCAGCUGUUUGUGUGAACCUCGAGUAUCGCAGCAGGGAAGGACUCCCUUGAAUAUGUGAUUCGACUACUCCUAAUACAUACCCAUUUAACACUUUCAUGUAGUAGUCCUUGUUGUAAAUACGUGAUUAUAAUAGUAAAUAUGUCUUUACAGAGGAGCAAAGCAUUUUUAGUUGGUAGCCUUCUCCCGUUCUCAACAGAAUAACCAACCUUAGGACUAUCGAAAGAGAGGCAAGAAGAGAGCAAGGCUAUCUUUUGAUUUAGAUGCUAGAGCACCUUCCCAACUUGGCACCCUGCAAAGAGCAGUAAGGAGAGUUGCAUCCAGAAGAACAAACGUUUCACAUGCUCAUCUGCGCAGAGGGCACUUUGCAAGUCUCCCCAGGGAAUGGGGCUAAGGCCUAACAAACAUUAGGGACUGCACUGGCUGCAGCUUAGGGGGACAAAUUAUAGGCUGUAAUCUCUAGGUAUUACCAAUAUUAUCUCUGCACUCUUCCUCUAUGGGAAGCAGGACUCUGUCCUCCUCAUUCAUCCAUCUGUCCCUCCUUCGCUUACUCUCCGUCACCAGGGUGAGGAUGAGGCUGGAGAGCGAGGGCAGUGCUGGAGCUCGGGUAAUGAAGGAGUUUCCCACUAGGUGGUGGUGAAGAGAAUCGUGUGACACGUACCGGUCAGCACAUGCUUUCUUUUUAGCAAGGGGAAUCCUACUAGGAUCUUACAAGCAGAACAGCCGAGCGCAGCUCUGAGCUGCACUGCCAAACUGAAUCUCUGACUUCUGCCGUCCCCUUCUGCUCGUUUCCAUGCUACGUGUUCCUCCCAAACCCAAGCAGGGUUGACAACUCUACCUGUCAUGUCCCUUCCCAAAAGGUGCAGUCUCCGCAUGAAGCUGCUGCGGUUCUUUCCAUCGGCCUGCUUGAUGAAUCAAGACAUGGUUAGCUAAAACGUCCUCUAAUGACAUUUAAGCUCUUCAGAGGUGAGGGCUUUUUGUAGCGAGUGCUUUUGUCUGAUUCUCCGCCACCACGCUUGCCUCCCUGUGCUCUGGGAGUUACGCUGCCAAGUAGGGGGGAAAAAAACCAACAACUUAUUUUUGUUUGCUGCUUGUGCUGAAAUACCUUUGUAAGUCUAGGUAGUGCAUCAGUCUACAUCAAAGGCACCAGACAGAGCAAGUACUUUGAAAGGACUUUGUAACGUCAAGAGUAAACUGUCACUGAAAGUCAGAGGAAAGCUUUGUACGUCUGAAGAAAGUCUGCACAAGCAGUACACUGAGAAAAUUAUCUGGGGAAUGCGAGCUGUGCCCCACUUUGGAGUAUGAGCAGAUGCUGGGUCUGCAAGGAAGAAUACAUUUGUCCUGUGAAUUGAUCCCACUGCUAUCAUGUAAUGAUAGAGCAUGCUUGCAAAAUUGUCAUUUAUUAGUCUAGUCACAAGUCUGAGAUGCUGAAAAAAUUAUGCUUUAAUUGCUCAUCAGCUAAAAAUCACUUGUGUCAAAUUAAUGUGCUAAGAAUUUUGCAAGACUAAGAAGCUAACUAAGGCCACAAAGCAGGGACAUUGUUGUUUUAUAGAUACCAACAUCAGUUUUACAUCCUAUUCUCAGGAAAAGAGUCUCAGAAAGGAAUCUUUAGUACCAAGACAAGGUUGAAACACUGGUUUAUCCUUCCCCCCAUUGAUUCAAAAGGAUAGAUAGGUUUCCUCUUGCAUUUACUCUGUCACGAGCAGUGAAAAGGAUUGCACAAGCAUGCACCCUGCAGCCACCGUGGUUGCAGCACAGCAGAGCGUGGAUUCCAAAUUAAUUGUCAGUUUUCUAAUUGUCACUAGAUGUUUUUGCUGGGGUGUGGGAGGAGAAAGGAAAGGGGCUUCUCCCUCAAAUCAGUCCCACCAUUAGAGUCAGAGCAUUCUUCUUAUUUGGAGGCUUGGGGUGAGAGUGCGGGGAGUCUAGAGUUUCCACCCAAACUGAUCAGUGUGAUUUUGAGCACAACUCACUCCUCUGUCCUUGCCUCCCCCCCCCCCCCCCCCCCCCCUUUCCGUACCUCCUGAGAUGGGCACAGGCACUGUGCAUAGGGUGUAAGUAAGUUGAGGGGCAAAAAGGUAUAUGGUUAAAUAGAAGCAAAUAUUUUGCAAGGUAGCCCAGCCUGAGCUCUGUGAGAGGAAGCAUUAGCAUCAAUUACUAUAUAAUCCUUCCAGUACACCUAGUUGCCAUGAUCCUCCCCAGCAGGGACCCCACUAAGCUAAAGUCAUGAUGCUUUGAGUAUUCCAACUUCACGGUUGAUAAACCCAGUUCUCAAGCAGAUUUUAGUGGGCAGAGUGCUAAUCGUGCUGGGAGCUGUAAGGUCAUUCCUGUCCAUGUUGCCCAGGGGCUGUGGAAAGCACAGAGGCUUUGGAUGCUGAGGUGCAACAACCUCCCAGAGCCAGCGGAUCGCUUGCAAGGCCUCAGAAAAGAGCAGCGGGGAGAGAGGACGACUGUCUCUCGGCUCCCGCACAGCUCCCAACACCGUUUUUGAUGCACAGAGAUAUGGGCACACAGAGGGGAGAAGCCUCCAAACAAGUCCGGAGCACCAUCUCACUAAAAGCAUUGGUUAAAUAAAGCACAAGAAUCCCAGGCAUUCCCUCCUCCUGCCGAGAGAUAUAACUCAGGGUUUGCACACAUAACAUCUUCCUUCUGCAGUGCCCCAACGCUUCAGGUGGCUGGAAAACGUUGCAGUUUCCUCUUUAUUGGCGGGAAACCAUGCAAGCGGAGAUGAUCACCUGAGAUUACACAGAGAAGCAGUAACAGAACUGAGGAGAAUUGAGCAGUUCUUGAUUUUUAAUCCUCUCUCACAACUACAAACCAGCCUCCUGAGGUUUUUCCAUUUUAGGAAAACAAACAAGACUGACAAAAUUCAGUCUCAUAUUCUAUCCAUUAAAAAUAGGAAUAAGCUAGACUGACCCAUUUUAGAGACAUCUGAAGUAUCUGUAGAUGCAGUGAGACUAGUCCAGUGUCCUAAUAGAUAUUUUUUGAAGAUGCUAACAAGAUUAUAUUAAGGCACAGCAUUUCUACGUAGUUCUUUGUUUUAAAGAAAUACCUAUUUUUACCAGACCCAGGCAUUGUUCUUCUAUUUAGGUCAGUUACAUCACCUCCAACUGCUAGUUAAAACCAGCUCUUCUCCCUCCCACACUGCAAGGAACAAUGGAUGAGCGGGCACAGCUGGACUGAAAUCAAUUGCUCCAAACUCCACAGAACUCCACUCACACGGACUGCUGCAGUGAAGUAACAGGAGGCAAGGAUUACUCAAGCAGGCAGGCCUGAGCUGAGACACUAGAUCUGCGCUCAGCAGAAACAUAAUCAGAGAGUCAAGAAGCACUGAAGAAACCCAAAAGGAGAGAAAGACAAGACAGGAAGUCCCCGUUCCUUUGCCUGGGACUCACGUGGAUUAACACCGGGCUGGACGUUAACACAAAGUACGCAAUUUGUAUUUGGUCUGAGCAUCUUGAGCAUUAUUUUCUUUGCUGUGAGGCUCAACCACGUUGAGCUUUCGCUCCAAGUCUUUUACUUCUUUCCUUGUUUGAAAGAUGGUAAAUUCAUAGAUCCAACAAUUUCCAGCAGUGUGUUGUGGAAUGCAAGUUAUGUGCUCUAAACCUAACUAGAGUUAUCUUA